rnacentral:rRNA from 1 species
GACGAACGCUGGCGGCGUGCCUAAUACAUGCAAGUAGAACGCUGAAGGAGGAGCUUGCUUCUCUGGAUGAGUUGCGAACGGGUGAGUAACGCGUAGGUAACCUGCCUGGUAGCGGGGGAUAACUAUUGGAAACGAUAGCUAAUACCGCAUAAUAGCAGUUAUUGCAUGAUAACUGUUUGAAAGGUGCAAUUGCACCACUACCAGAUGGACCUGCGUUGUAUUAGCUAGUUGGUGGGGUAACGGCUCACCAAGGCGACGAUACAUAGCCGGCCUGAGAGGGGGAUCGGCCACACUGGGACUGAGACACGGCCCAGACUCCUACGGGAGGCAGCAGUAGGGAAUCUUCGGCAAUGGACGGAAGUCUGACCGAGCAACGCCGCGUGAGUGAAGAAGGUUUUCGGAUCGUAAAGCUCUGUUGUAAGAGAAGAACGAGUGUGAGAGUGGAAAGUUCACACUGUGACGGUAUCUUACCAGAAAGGGACGGCUAACUACGUG